rnacentral:rRNA from 1 species
UACGAACGGUGCAAGCGUUACUCGGAAUCACUGGGCGUAAAGCGCACGUAGGCGGACUCGUAGGUCAAUUGUGAAAUACCUGGGCUCAACCUGGGAACUGCAGUUGAAACCACUUGUCUUGAAUACCUGAGAGGGUGGGGGAAUACCUGGUGGAGAAGUGAAAUUCGUAGAGAUCAGGUGGAACACCGGAGGCGAAGGCGCCUGCCUGGCAGUGUAUUGACGCUGAGGUGCGAAAGUGCGGGGAGCAAACAGG